rnacentral:rRNA from 1 species
AGGGUUUGAUCAUGGCUCAGGACGAACGCUGGCGGCGUGCCUAAUACAUGCAAGUAGAACGCACAGUUUAUACCGUAGCUUGCUACACCAUAGACUGUGAGUUGCGAACGGGUGAGUAACGCGUAGGUAACCUGCCUGGUAGCGGGGGAUAACUAUUGGAAACGAUAGCUAAUACCGCAUAAUAUUAAUUAUUGCNUGAUAAUUGAUUGAAAGGUGCAAUUGCACCACUACCAGAUGGACCUGCGUUGUAUUAGCUAGUAGGUGAGGUAACGGCUCACCUAGGCGACGAUACAUAGCCGACCUGAGAGGGUGAUCGGCCACACUGGGACUGAGACACGGCCCAGACUCCUACGGGAGGCAGCAGUAGGGAAUCUUCGGCAAUGGACGAAAGUCUGACCGAGCAACGCCGCGUGAGUGAAGAAGGUUUUCGGAUCGUAAAGCUCUGUUGUAAGAGAAGAACGGGUGUGAGAGUGGAAAGUUCACACUGUGACGGUAUCUUACCAGAAAGGGACGGCUAACUACGUGCCAGCAGCCGCGGUAAUACGUAGGUCCCGAGCGUUGUCCGGAUUUAUUGGGCGUAAAGCGAGCGCAGGCGGUUAGAUAAGUCUGAAGUUAAAGGCUGUGGCUUUACCAUAGUACGCUUUGGAAACUGUUUAACUUGAGUGCAGAAGGGAAAGUGGAAUUCCAUGUGUA